rnacentral:rRNA from 1 species
UGGGGAAUAUUGCAUAAUGGGGGAAACCCUGAUGCAGCGACGCCGCGUGAGCGAAGAAGGCUUUCGAGUCGUAAAGCUCUGUCCUAUGAGAAGAUAAUGACGGUAUCAUAGGAGGAAGCCCUGGCUAAAUACGUGCCAGCAGCCGCGGUAAUACGUAUGGGGCGAGCGUUGUCCGGAAUUAUUGGGCGUAAAGGGUACGUAGGUGGUUUUUUAAGUCAGGUGUCAAAGCGUGGAGCUUAACUCCAUUAAGCACUUGAAACUGAAAAACUUGAGUGAAGGAGAGGAAAGUGGAAUUCCUAGUGUAGCGGUGAAGUGCGUAGAUAUUAGGAGGAAUACCGGUGGCGAAGGCGACUUUCUGGACUUUUACUGACGCUCAGGUACGAAAGCGUGGGGAGCAAACGGG